CUUUAAGAAGCCAUCUCAAAUGCACACUGAGGCUUCAAAGGAACUGUCAGCAGCCUGCGAGUUUUCCUUCCACAAGGGACAGAGGAGACAUUGAAACAUUCAAUCAACAGUGUUUGCCACUCCCUGGGCCUUUUUCCCCCACCGUAUGCUCUGCACCUGUCAUGGCCACCAGCAUAGAAGUGAAUGAAUCCUUCAAAAUUCAGCUGAAAUAUUGAACUCUUCGCCAAUGUGUCCACCGCUUCCUCCUACUGCUUCCUCUGUGCUCUUGUAAGAAGAUCAUCUUGCUGCUACACGGAGCAUUUGUUGGCUUCUAUUCCAGCCCCUGCAUGCAUCUCAUCUCUCCUACGUUAUCAAUCCCACCUCUCCCCCACUGCCCAGGUGGGGGCUUCCCAAGGCCACCCUCAGAUCCUU
rnacentral:lncRNA from 1 species